rnacentral:piRNA from 1 species
UACUGGCUUGUUCUCAUGAUGGAAGC